rnacentral:rRNA from 11 species
AAAUGUAGUAAAUACUCUAAAAGCACCAGGUCCUAUCUGAUCUGGGAAGCUAAGCAGGAUUAGUCCUUGUUAGUACUUGGAUAGAAGACCACCAAUCAAUAACAACUGAUGUACACUAUAUUUC